GACGAACGCUGGCGGCGUGCUUAACACAUGCAAGUCGAACGGAAAGGCCCGGCUUUUGUGGGGUGCUCGAGUGGCGAACGGGUGAGUAACACGUGAGUAACCUGCCCUUGACUUUGGGAUAACUUCAGGAAACUGGGGCUAAUACCGGAUAUGAGCUCCUGCUGCAUGGUGGGGGUUGGUAAGUUUCGGCGUUUGGGGAUGGACUCGCGUCUUAUCAGUUUGUUGGUGGGUUAGUGGCUUACCAAGGCUUUGACGGGUAGCCGGCCUGAGAGGGUGACCGGCCACAUUGGGACUGAGAUACGGGCCAGACUGCUACGGGAGGCAGCAGUGGGAAUUAUUGCACAAUGGGCGGAAGCAUGAUGCAGCAACGCCGCGUGCGGGAUGACGGCCUUCGGGUUGUAACCCGCUUUCGCCUGUGACGAAGCGUAAGUGACGGUAAUGGGUAAAGAAGCACCGGCUAACUACGUG
rnacentral:rRNA from 1 species